rnacentral:rRNA from 1 species
CCUACGGGAGGCAGCAGUGAGGAAUAUUGGUCAAUGGGAGAGAUCCUGAACCAGCCAAGUCGCGUGAGGGAUGACGGCCCUACGGGUUGUAAACCUCUUUUGUCGGGGAGCAAGACCCGCCACGAGUGGCGGAGCGAGAGUACCCGAAGAAAAAGCAUCGGCUAACUCCGUGCCAGCAGCCGCGGUAAUACGGAGGAUGCGAGCGUUAUCCGGAUUUAUUGGGUUUAAAGGGUGCGCAGGCGGACCAUCAAGUCAGCGGUAAAAUCGUGGGGCCCAACCCCAUCCCGCCGUUGAAACUGGCGGUC